rnacentral:rRNA from 1 species
UAAUACGGGAGGUGCGAGCGUUAAUCGGAAUUACUGGGCGUAAAGCGAGCGUAGGCUGUUAAUUAAGUCGAAUGUGAAAUCCCCGGGCUCAACCUGGGAACUGCAUUCGAAACUAUUUAACUAGAGUAUGGGAGAGGAAAGUAGAAUUUCCGGUGUAGCGGUGAAAUGCGUAGAUAUCGGAAGGAAUACCAGUGGCGAAGGCGGCUUUCUGGAACAAUACUGACGCUAAGGUUCGAAAGCGUGGGGAGCAUACAGGAUUAGAUACCCUGGUAGUCCACGCCGUAAACGAUGAGAACUAGAUGUUGGGAGGAUUGGCCUCUCAGUGUCGCAGCUAACGCAAUAAGUUCUCCGCCUGGGGAGUACGACCGCAAGGUUG